AGUGAACGCUGGCGGUAGGCCUAACACAUGCAAGUCGAACGGCGGCACAGGAGAGCUUGCUCUCUGGGUGGCGAGUGGCGGACGGGUGAGGAAUACAUCGGAAUCUGCCCAGUCGUGGGGGAUAACGUAGGGAAACUUACGCUAAUACCGCAUACGACCUUCGGGUGAAAGAGGGGGAUCGCAAGACCUCUCGCGAUUGGAUGAGCCGAUGUCGGAUUAGCUAGUUGGCGGGGUAAUGGCCCACCAAGGCGACGAUCCGUAGCUGGUCUGAGAGGAUGAUCAGCCACACUGGAACUGAGACACGGUCCAGACUCCUACGGGAGGCAGCAGUGGGGAAUAUUGGACAAUGGGCGCAAGCCUGAUCCAGCCAUACCGCGUGGGUGAAGAAGGCCUUCGGGUUGUAAAGCCCUUUUGUUGGGAGAGAAAUCGUUCAGGCUAAUACCCUGGGAGGAUGACGGUACCCAAAGAAUAAGCACCGGCUAACUUCGUG
rnacentral:rRNA from 1 species